rnacentral:rRNA from 1 species
AGGACGAACGCUGGCGGCGUGCUUAACACAUGCAAGUCCAACGUGAAAGGGGAGCAAUCCCCCGGUAGGGUGGCGAACGGGUGAGUAAUACAUGGGAAUCUGUCCUGGAGAUGGGGAUAUCCUUCCGAAAGGAGGGUUAAUACCGAAUAUCGUCCGGGUGACGGGAGUCACUUGGGGAAAGGGAGGCCUCUGGCAACAUGCUUCCGCUCCGGGAGGAGCCCAUGGCCCAUCAGCUAGUUGGUAGGGUAACGGCCUACCAAGGCGACGAUCCGUAGCUGGUCUGAGAGGACGACCAGCCACACUGGGACUGAGACACGGCCCAGACUCCUACGGGCGGCAGC